CAAUUGGGGCUGGCGAGAUGGCU
rnacentral:miRNA from 1 species